GACAGAGGUGGCAAGCGUUGUCCGGAAUUACUGGGCGUAAAGCGUGCGUAGGUGGUUGUUUAAGUCUGCUGUGAAAGCCCUGGGCUCAACCUGGGAAUUGCAGUGGAUACUGGGCGACUAGAGUGUGGUAGAGGAUAGUGGAAUUUCCGGUGUAGCAGUGAAAUGCGUAGAGAUCGGAAGGAACAUCUGUGGCGAAGGCGAACUAUCUGGGCCAACACUGACACUGAGGCACGAAAGCGUGGGGAGCAAACAGG
rnacentral:rRNA from 1 species